rnacentral:lncRNA from 1 species
UAAGUCUAAUUUUUUAUAUACAGCAGCAAACUAAAUAUGUGCUGAAUCUCAACGUGGACCACCACUUUGUUUUUUUUUUUCAAAGAUAGGUAGUACGCUACCCGCUUUGUUUAUUUCAUUUAGAAAUAAACUUAGCUGGAAAUGUGAAUCAACUAGGAUCCGAACUUGGGUCUCGGGUACCAACCACCAAGCCCUUUGCCACUUACUCUAGGGACGGUCAGUGGACCACCACUUUGUUGAACUUGUUCAUAUGCUAGUGGAGAUCCGUCAAUUCUUGCAUCUGCAGCGUACGUGAAUAGUCGUUGCUUCAAAUACAACAUGUUUGUUAGGGACAUGAUCAGAAAUAAGAAAAAUAAAAAACAAUUCAUCCUGAAACUGUCUCAAUUCACCAAAAAAUGAAGCCGGAGGUGGAUGGCCGGUUCUUCCUUUGAUCCAUCCUGAUCCGUCAAAAACUCGCUUCCACUCAGACCCAUCCCCAGAAGAAUGAUAAGUGAGAACAAUAAAUAAAAUAAAAAUUAAUCCCUUCUAAAUCUAUCCUAAUCAACCAAGAAAAAUGGGGUAGGUGGGGACCAUCCCACAGCCAGAUCAACCCCAUUUACAUCCCUAUUGUGAUAGUAGUUCACUCUAUAUUGAUUUAAGAAAGUAUAGAAUAUAGUUUUUUUAUUUUUUAUUUUUUAGAGAUAGGUAACACGCUAUCCGUUUCGUUUAUUUAAUUUAGAAAUAAAUUUAGCUAGAAAUAUGAAUUAACUAGGAUUAAAACUUGGGACCUCUGGUACCAACCCCCAAGCCCUUUGCCGUUUACUAUAGAAACGAUCGGUAAGUAUAGAAUAUAGUUAAAAAGGAAUUUCAUCAACUAGUUUAUAUAUAUGCACACGCAUAACGUGGACGGGAAGGACUCGUCAUUCUUUGGCACUCCUCGGGGAGUUCUUAAGGAGUCUUCUUAAUGGCCCUUUGAUGGAGUGAUGAUAUAUAUUCCACUUUUGAGGUGUAUUGAUAGUAUUAUUUUAUUUUUUAGAGAAAUUUUAUUUGUACAUUCCAGAAGAGAGUAUAGAUCUUACACUCUCUGUUCUAGGAUUUACAAAAAUUCAAAUGGUUUUUAGUAAAAUUUUUUUAAAAAAGUUGAUGCGUCAAAUAGAGAAUUAAUGAUUUUUGGAUGGCGUAGCUGUAAGAUGUACACCGCACUUUGGGAUUUACUGAUCGUUUUGCUCUAUUAUUUAGAAUAUAUAUUCUACGUUUAGCCCUCAAACUAAAAAUUUGGAUGACAAUUUGGUUCUUAAAUUUUAAUUUAUUAUAAUUUAUAAUUUAUGGCUCAAAUUUUUAUAAUUAUUACAAUUAAUGAGUGUUAACGUCCAAUUUAAUUGACUAAAUAUUAACACAUUAUUUAUACAAAAUUAAUAUGUCAUCUUAUUUAUUAGCGUACAAUCAAUCACAAUACUAAUAUAUCACUUUCGUAUUAGUAAUAUAUCAAUACUUAGUAAAAAAGUGGCAGAAAUUACAUCAAGUUAAACUUUGACAACCGUAGUGUCAUUCGCCUACUAGUUUGAGAACCAAACGUACAAUUAUUUCUCUAAAAAAAAAAAAAAACGUACAAUUACACCAUUAUUUAUCUUAUCUAGCUAAUGUAUUCUACCGCAGAUAUACACACGUCACUACAACAGAAUUAGGUUAUAGGGACACAUGUUUGGGACACUUUUGAGUAAGUCUCCCACUUAUGCUAAAACUUAAAAACAUAUCUACUAAUGCCUAAAUAUAAAGCCCAAUCCAACCAAAAAUGAAAGAUUACUCUACUCAUCCCACCACACCCAGUCCAUUUGGCCCGAUUACAAAUAGAAAAGAAAAAAAAAAGAAAAAUCAAUUACCAUCUUUUCUUCUAUCUUCACUCAAUCCACUGAAAUUCUAGACGAAGAGCCUUUACUGUCGUCCUCCUCCGCCACCGCAGCCAACGAGAUAGAGUUUCGGCGGUUGCUAAAUGUUUAAAUAAGUGUUGGUAAAUUAGCAGCACUCUUUUAGGUUAUAGCGACACUCUUUAACUGUCACUAUAUACCUAGCGACCCC